AACGAACGCUGGCGGCAGGCUUAACACAUGCAAGUCGAACGCACCGCAAGGUGAGUGGCAGACGGGUGAGUAACGCGUGGGAACGUACCUUUCGGUUCGGAAUAACUCGGGGAAACUCGAGCUAAUACCGGAUACGCCCUUCGGGGGAAAGAUUUAUCGCCGAUAGAUCGGCCCGCGUUGGAUUAGCUAGUUGGUGAGGUAACGGCUCACCAAGGCGACGGUCCAUAGCUGGUCUAAGAGGACGAUCAGCCACACUGGGACUGAGACACGGCCCAGACUCCUACGGGAGGCAGCAGUGGGGAAGAUUGGACAAGGGGGGAAACCCUGAUCCAGCCAUGCCGCGUGAGUGAUGAAGGCCUUAGGGUUGUAAAGCUCUUUCGCCUGGGAAGAUAAUGACGGUACCAGGAGAAGAAGCCCCGGCUAACUUCGUGCCAGCCGCCGCGGUAACAC
rnacentral:rRNA from 1 species